ACAGACCUUGGCCGUACAACACGGGAGUCUCGCCAACGGCUUCCAUCAGUUUUUGGCGACGCUGGUUGUCCUCGAACGACAUCGUUCUGUUCAACUGUCACAAUAUGUAAUCAUUAGACGCUCCCGUAGCAACUAUUUCAAUGGUUUUAGGUACGGAUCUCUGGGCUGCCAUCUUGCGGCGGUACAAAAGAUGACCACCAGGUUCUUGUCUCUCCACCUGCUCCAUAAAACGUGAAAGGCGACAAGGACCCGUAGCAACCUUGCUGCCGACGUGCUUUCACCGCAGCCAUGUUGGAGAGGUCGUCCUUCCCGUUGAAAGCAAUAAAAGGACAUUGAAAUUCAAUCAUAAUUUGCUCGUUGUUAAACCAAUGUUCUGGUUUUC